rnacentral:rRNA from 1 species
GUACACUCCUGCGGGAGGCAGCAGUGGGGAAUUUUGGACAAUGGGCGAAAGCCUGAUCCAGCCAUGCCGCGUGCAGGAUGAAGGCCUUCGGGUUGUAAACUGCUUUUGUACGGAACGAAACGGCCUUUUCUAAUAAAGAGGGCUAAUGACGGUACCGUAAGAAUAAGCACCGGCUAACUACGUGCCAGCAGCCGCGGUAAUACGUAGGGUGCAAGCGUUAAUCGGAAUUACUGGGCGUAAAGCGUGCGCAGGCGGUUAUGUGAGACAGUUGUGAAAUCCCCGGGCUCAACCUGGGAACUGCAUCUGUGACUGCAUAGCUAGAGUACGGUAGAGGGGGAUGGAAUUCCGCGUGUAGCAGUGAAAUGCGUAGAUAUGCGGAGGAACACCGAUGGCGAAGGCAAUCCCCUGGACCUGUACUGACGCUCAUGCACGAAAGCGUGGGGAGCAAACAGGAUUAGAAACCCUUGUAGUCCCAUGA